CGGUAACAGGAAGCAGCUUGCUGCUUCGCUGACGAGUGGCGGACGGGUGAGUAAUGUCUGGGAAACUGCCUGAUGGAGGGGGAUAACUACUGGAAACGGUGGCUAAUACCGCAUAACGUCGCAAGACCAAAGAGGGGGACCUUCGGGCCUCUUGCCAUCAGAUGUGCCCAGAUGGGAUUAGCUUGUUGGUGAGGUAACGGCUCACCAAGGCGACGAUCCCUAGCUGGUCUGAGAGGAUGACCAGCCACACUGGAACUGAGACACGGUCCAGACUCCUACGGGAGGCAGCAGUGGGGAAUAUUGCACAAUGGGCGCAAGCCUGAUGCAGCCAUGCCGCGUGUAUGAAGAAGGCCUUCGGGUUGUAAAGUACUUUCAGCGGGGAGGAAGGUGUUGUGGUUAAUAACCGCAGCAAUUGACGUUACCCGCAGAAGAAGCACCGGCUAACUCCGUGCCAGCAGCCGCGGUAAUACGGAGGGUGCAAGCGUUAAUCGGAAUUACUGGGCGUAAAGCGCACGCAGGCGGUCUGUCAAGUCGGAUGUGAAAUCCCCGGGCUCAACCUGGGAACUGCAUUCGAAACUGGCAGGCUUGAGUCUUGUAGAGGGGGGUAGAAUUCCAGGUGUAGCGGUGAAAUGCGUAGAGAUCUGGAGGAAUACCGGUGGCGAAGGCGGCCCCCUGGACAAAGACUGACGCUCAGGUGCGAAAGCGUGGGGAGCAAACAGGAUUAGAUACCCUGGUAGUCCACGCCGUAAACGAUGUCUACUUGGAGGUUGUGCCCUUGAGGCGUGGCUUCCGGAGCUAACGCGUUAAGUAGACCGCCUGGGGAGUACGGCCGCAAGGUUAAAACUCAAAUGAAUUGACGGGGGCCCGCACAAGCGGUGGAGCAUGUGGUUUAAUUCGAUGCAACGCGAAGAACCUUACCUGGUCUUGACAUCCACAGAACUUUCCAGAGAUGGAUUGGUGCCUUCGGGAACUGUGAGACAGGUGCUGCAUGGCUGUCGUCAGCUCGUGUUGUGAAAUGUUGGGUUAAGUCCCGCAACGAGCGCAACCCUUAUCCUUUGUUGCCAGCGAUUAGG
rnacentral:rRNA from 1 species